ACUCUGACAAAGGUAGAGGGAUCCCCAUGAUGUCACUUCAUGACUCUUGGACCCCACAGCAGCUAAAAGGUGGCUCAUCGACAGAAAGGAUUCAAACAUCUUUCUGCAUAUUGUGGACUUGUCUGAUCCCAAGAAAAUUUGGAAAUUUGUUGAAAAUUUCAAACAGAAACAUAAACUCAAUUUUCUGGACACAUGCUCGUGAGGACACUCGCUCUGUGUGGAUGCAUAGACUGGGACACCUGAAUGCUCACCCUGGAAGUCAAGAGUUCCUGGAAGCCACUCCAAAUCCUGCCCCUCUGUCCUCAGGAGCACCUCCACCUCCCCUCUUCCUGCCUG